rnacentral:lncRNA from 10 species
AAAUUUGUGAAAAUUUAAAAAGCAUGAAUAAGAGCUUUUGGUGAGACUGUGGGGAAACAGAUACUUUCAUGCAUUGGGAUGGCAAAUUGGUAAAGCCCAUAUGAAGGAGAAGAUGGCAAGAUGGAACAAAACUACACAUGCACUUACCUUUGACCCAGAAAUCUCACUUCUAGGAAUCUAUGCUGAAGAUACAUUUCUAAGAGAAGAAAAACACACUUGCACAAGUUUAUUCAUCUCAGCAUUAUUUUAAAUUGUAAAAUAUUGAAAACAACCUAGAUGCCCAUACAUAGCAGAUUAGUGGAAUACACUAAGAAAAAUUCACACAAGGGAGUACCAUGCAGCUGUAUAAGUAAAUACAGGAGAUCUCAAUGAUCUGAUAUGGAGAGAGUGCCAGAAUACAUUGCUUAGUGGAAAAGACUGGUUUUACUAGUGUGCUACCGUUUAUGUAAGAAAGCAGAAGAAAUAAGAACAUAUAUAUGUAUUUGCCCAGGUAUGCACAAAUCAAUACAGGAAGAAUACGUUUGAAACUAAGAUUAGUCACCUACAUAGGGUAGAUGGGAACAAAGUGGAUAAAAACAAGAAAUGGCAACACAGUGUAAGGGAUAAAGGGGUUCCACAUCUGAGUAUGAUUUUCUGUCAAGUUCUGACUUUCAGAAUCAUAAUCAUGUUUCACAUACUAAAAAUAAACAAAUCAAUAAACAAUAAAAAUCAAAAUGAAAAUACAGUAAAAAAUAUUGUAGGGGGGUGGGGCAAGCUCUUUAUCUAGAGGAAAUGAGUUGUAUCACCA